CAUAUAACCCGUUAAUGUCGCCGGGUAGAUCUUAUACUCAUUCCUUUCUAUUGAAGCCACCAAAUCUGAGGAUCGAAGCAAUUAUCGAAGCUCUUCAAGAAAAGAAAGUGGUGAUUCUACUAGAUGGCAUAUCCUGUUACUACAACCCGUAGCUACACAUGUUACAUUUUUUACAGCUACAUAUGUAACGACCCUUUGUUAUAUAUGUUAAUGACCAGCUUGUUGGAAUAGGUUAAUGGAGUUUAUGCAAGAGAUGAGUCAGCAAAGGUAGCAGAUAAACAGCAAAGACAGACCGUCAAUGGAAGCUCCACCCCUUCUUAGUGAUCUGUGUUUUCGUUUACUAGUAAUAUGUAAUUUGAGACUCUUAUUAUUUUGUCUAGGACGUGUUGUUAAAAAUGUUCUGGCCUUCCGAACUUCUACCCUGAAGUCGACCUCAGCAUAUUUGUGUUGCUUUUGGGCUC